AUUGAACGCUGGCGGCAUGCCUUACACAUGCAAGUCGAACGGUAACGGGCCUUCGGGCGCCGACGAGUGGCGAACAGGUGAGUAAUACAUCGGAACGUGCCCGAUCGUGGGGGAUAACGAGGCGAAAGCUUUGCUAAUACCGCAUACGAUCUACGGAUGAAAGCAGGGGACCGCAAGGCCUUGCGCGGACGGAGCGGCCGAUGGCAGAUUAGGUAGUUGGUGGGAUAAAAGCUUACCAAGCCGACGAUCUGUAGCUGGUCUGAGAGGAUGAUCAGCCACACUGGGACUGAGACACGGCCCAGACUCCUACGGGAGGCAGCAGUGGGGAAUUUUGGACAAUGGGCGCAAGCCUGAUCCAGCCAUGCCGCGUGCAGGAUGAAGGCCUUCGGGUUGUAAACUGCUUUUGUACGGAACGAAAAGCCUUCUUUUAAUACAGGAGGGUCAUGACGGUACCGUAAGAAUAAGCACCGGCUAACUACGUG
rnacentral:rRNA from 1 species